rnacentral:lncRNA from 1 species
CUAGAAUUCAGUGAACACAGUCCUGGAUACAGCAAAAUUUCAUUCUGGUGUUGUAAACUGUGCACUGCCGAGCAUCGUAGCUAAGAGUUUUGAUAUGUGUGGCACCUGUAUAUAUCACUGGAAAAGUUCGGAGGGCAAGAGAGGUAACUGAGGCUUGGAGAGGAAAGCUGUCACUUGCCCAUGUUCACUCCGAAUGCAUGACUGCGUGGGCUGGGGGAUGAGACCUUCUGAUGUCCAGUCUCGGCCACCAGAGGCAGGACCGUGAGAGGCCACAGCUUUGUCCACUCCUGUUAGCACAGACUUCUGGAGCCUGUUAUCCAGUUUGAAUUCUCGGCUUCACCACUUACUAACGAAAAGUGCCCAGUACCCGUAGGCGUUCAGCAGCUCACAGCUGUUGUGACUGUCUGAGUUGCCUUGCGAACGUCCAAGCGGCAACAAGACAGCCAGCAGCCGAAUCCAGUGCUCCUCCACUGCAGGCCAGCUUCUUCCCCAGGGACAUUUGGCAACGUCUGAAGACAUUUUUGGUCGCCACAAGUAGAAGGCAUCGAAUGGGUAGAGGCCAGAGAUGUUGUUAAACAUCCUCAGUGCACAGGACAGCUCCCCACACGCGGAGUUACGUGGCCCCGCAUGUCGAGAGUGCCGAGGUUGAGAGACUCUGCCCUACGCUGAACACCAGUGAGGCAGACUCUUUUGCCAGAUAUGAUGAGGCGCUAGGCUGACCCUGGAAGCCGCCACCCUGAUGGAGGCAGGCCAGACAAUAAGAAGUAAAUAAACAAGAAACUAUUAGACGACAGUCUAUGCUGUGAUAAAAACGAAACAGGGUGGCAGAUAGAGAGGGGUGGGGUCAGGCUGCUUUAGACUGGAUGAGCAGAAAGUCUUCUUAGAGGAGAUGGCAUUAAACUGGAACCGAAUAAUGAGAAGUGACCAGCCAUUGAAGAGCUGAGCAAAGAGCAGAGUUGAUGAAGGGGCAGUUCCUGCAAAUGCCCAGAGGGGGACGACCUUGCUGUGACUGAGGCACAGAGAGCAGGGCAGGUAGAGAGUGGUGGUAAGGAUGGAGACAGGGAGUCAAAUAAAGCUCGAGGCCCGCCCCACAGAAGGGCUCCCUCUGGACGCUGCUGCUUCGUAGUGCCCUCCAAGGAAAAAAACACUGCCUCAGAGGACUUGACGGGAACUAAAACAUGUGAUUUCAUGGGUGGUAGAAAUUUUAAGUUGGUUUUAAAGUUGUUGUUUCUUUUUUCCUUUAGGAAGCAAUGAUAAGUCUCUUUCCUAGCA